AGUAACGCGUGGGUAACCUGCCUCAUACAGGGGGAUAACAGUUAGAAAUGACUGCUAAUACCGCAUAAGCGCACAGUGCUGCAUGGCACAGUGUGAAAAACUCCGGUGGUAUGAGAUGGACUCGCGUCUGAUUAGCUAGUUGGUGGGGUAACGGCCUACCAAGCCGACGAUCAGUAGCCGACCUGAGAGGGUGACCGGCCACAUUGGGACUGAGACACGGCCCAA
rnacentral:rRNA from 1 species